AAGUAUUAAUCAAAGGUAAAGAAAUUUAGUAGAGUAAAUUGUAAAAUGCACCAUUUUACAUCUAUAUAAAAUGCACACACAAAAAAAAAUGUAAAAACUACAAACUGCUGUGUCUAUCAACAAAUAUGUGCAAUGCAGAUAACAAUACAAUAUAAAAAGUGAGCAAUAAUGUCUAGUACUCUAUAGUUAGCGAAAUAGCACGGAGAAAAGAAAGGAAUGGUUCAACUACCAUUUCAACAAAAAAGGACAUUUUAGGAAGUAGGUAUGGAUACUUAAAUGCAUGCAUACAUUGUGCAAUCACAUGCUACGUUAUGAAAUGAAGAGAUAUCCUACUGACCACAAGGAAAACCUACCAUACAUUAUCAAUGCUUUGUGAUGGCUGGUGAUCAAGUUUUGUGAAGAUAUUUGUCAUACUCGAACCUUCAAACACAAUUAUGAUAUGCUGCAAAAAGGAAGCACUGUAGGCAUGACCAAGAAGUUCCUAUAAGGCAGUAAAAUUCAUAGGUACAACCUUAACCAUAGUCUGCCGUACCGAUCCGUACCGGCCGGUACGGGCCGGUACGUACCAGUCCGGCCUGGGACCGGUACCGGAUCAACGUGGAAUCCGGUACCGGUAGUUUACUGUUGAAGGACCGGUACGGGACCGGUUCGGACCGGUACGGGACCGGUUCGGACCGGUCCGGGCCGCCACCGGUAUGCCGACCGGUACCGGUAUGGCGGACCUUGACCUUAACCAUCAAUCCUUAGCUACCUAGAUGGAGCAGGCUUUGUUGAUUGAAGUGUUGCCAACAAACAUUUGAGAACCUUUUUCUUUAAGGGAAAAAAAAAACUCUCAAGACGACCAAAACCUUAAUAAAUCAGUCUCAAACUCUUGGCUAAAGCAACUUUAGAGAAAAGAUUGUGCAAGUGGGACCUAGAAAACAUGAUGAUAGAAAGGGUUACGUAUUUUAUCAGUUACACAAUCUAUGCUCGUGCAAUUAGGGGGAAGCCCUCUAACACACACUUCAAAUUCUCAGUAAGUGUAAUAAUUUGAUGAUUAUAUCAUCCCUAUUAAAACCGUCAGAUAAAUCUCAUCUUUGUUAUUUCCUGAUUUGUUA
rnacentral:lncRNA from 1 species